rnacentral:lncRNA from 1 species
AGGUUGCAUUUCUGUAAAUAUUGACAAUGCAUUUUCCCAUAGGAACUCCCAUUACGGCUAAAACUGUACCACUUUUACUAUGAAGUUUUGAAAAAAAUCCUAUCAUAGAAUGGAAAGUUCAUAUGCACUACUAUUUUUUUCAAAGGUCAAAAUAUAGCUGUGCGGCAUAUUUUCAAAGUGUAUUUGCCCCGAACUUCUAAGAGUUUAAACUAACACUAAAUGUCUUAACUAUCCCUACCUCGACUGUAGGGUUACCAUAGAUUUCUAUAUAAACAAUAUUCACAUGUUUAUUUUCUGGUAACUUUCCCAAGUUAUGUCUCUAUGAGAUGCAACCUACAGAUCAGAACUGUGAACCAGUAUGUAAACCAAAUUAAUUUUCUAUGAAUAUUCUAA